ACACACACACACACACACACACACACACACACAGGUUUACCUCUGCAAGGUAGCCAUGAUUUAUCCCCUCUUCAGAGUUGUUUUGAUUCAUUGAGCUUAGCUCUGUGAUAUAAAUAUGAGGGUUUUGUUCAAACUUACACGGUUUUAUUAUUUAUUUAUAUGUUUUAAUUUUUUUUCAAACGUACUUAAAAGUUUUAAAAACCGAAGAUGUUGGGGCGACUGGGUGGCUCAGACAGUUGAGCUUCCGACUCUUGAUUUCGGCUUGGGUCAUGAUCCCAGGGUCGUGGGCUUGAACCCUGCAUUGGGUUCUGUGCUGAGUGUGAAGCCUGCUUAAGAUUCUCUCUUGCUCCCUCUGUCCCUUUCCCCUGCUUGCUUAUUCUCUCUCUCUCUAAAAUGAAAAAUGAAAAAAAAAUAUAUAAAAUGAUAUACAGAAGAGGUUACCAGAGGAUUUGAAGGAGAAUUCUAUAGAUGCUUGCUUGAGUAAUGAGAAAUGUACUAAUUGGUUUUUUUCCUUGCCAGAAAUCAAACUGGAUUAGGUUUUUAGACUUAACUAUGUGAAAUAUGGAUAUGUACAUAUUCAUGUAGGAAUGGGGAGGUUGGAUUAGAUUAAAUCUAAAAAGUCUUCCAUGCUUUAGGUUUACUACAGAAUAAGCAUAUACAGGCAACCCUUGACUCACACUGGGUUGGAUAUGGGAGGAUUAUCUUAAGUCCGAAGUUGAUGGUAAAAUUUCAAAUCUAUGGAGGAGGUGGAAGAAGGGAAAUUGAUGAGGAAGUGAAGAAUAAAAACAGAGCAGUUGAGAAAAAACUGUAAAAAGGUAGGGAAAAAAUAAUCUUUGUCUUAAUGCCAUAGAAAAUUAGUUGAUGGAGAAUAGUUGAAAAUUACUAACGUUGAAUAAAGUAAAUCAAAUUAGUAUUAGUAUGUGAGUAUGUGAUUAUGAAAAGAUGGACUAAAUUAGCUGUCUUUUCAAGACUAUUGGUAAUAGAAUCAAUUAGGGUUCAUUAUUAGCUAUAUUAACAGAAAAUUAGCCCUUGCUAGCUCCUAAAAAUAUGAGGUUCUUAUAAGAGAUGGUGAUCCCUUAUCAACAUAUAUAAAACUUGAACAUUUAUAAAGCAGCUCCCUUCCCAGAGCUAAACUAGAUUAGAUGAUCAAUUAAUGGCUAAAAUGUUACUGUAUCUCUUUUUAAUAUUUCUUGUCAAAAACUCAAAUAUUCCUGAUUCAACUUGUGUUUCUAUUUGAGUAAUAUAAUUUGGUCAUAAUUGGUUUCAUUUCAAUUGUCUUUACAUUUUGGGUACUUAUUAUCUUUUCUCUCAUCCCCUGGGAAUGCCAAGUACCAAUUUUUGCUAUUUAGCAAGUCAGUAAGGAGCUUCCCACUGAGUGCCUUAAUUAUUGUUAAUUGAAUAUUGUAAAUGGUUUUUCAGGAUCACCAUCUUGUGACAUUUUUGUCAGUUAGCAAGACUUAAAGCACCAAGAAUCCCUUCUACCCCUUUCCAUACAAUCAUCAAAUCAGUAACUAUAAAAAAUACUCUCCUCUUGUCAAAUGUCAAGUCACAUACGUGCUGCAUAUGGUAUUUAGAACAUGGUAGCUGCUCAAUGAAUAUGAAACAAUAGCUGCCCUUUUAUUUUAUUUUUAAUGUUUAUUUGUUUAACAGAGAGAAAGCGAGAGAGAGAGCGUGCAUGAGUGGGGGAGAGGCAGAGAGAGAGAAUCUCAAGCAGGCUCCAAGCUGUCAGCAGAGAUCCUGACGCGGAGUUCAAUCCCACAAACCAUAAACUGAAAUUAAGAGUCGGACAAAUAGCUCUCCUUUUUAAAUGGAAUGAUUCCCAGGUCCAGUCUUCGAGGGAACAUCCCUUUCACUUUCCCGAGCUCCCACAGUACAUCUCAUCCAGCAUGGCAGGCCUGGUGCUCUAGGGUAGAGCUCAUCCUUGUUCAUGCACCAGGACCAAGCUUUCUAGUACUCUUUUCUGCUCUAUAAUCAAAAGAAGGAAAAAAUUGUAAAUAAAGAGCCUCAGAAAAUCUGAGAAUGUCAAAAAUGCUACAAGCAAAAAACUGGAGAGUGGAAAAAUCACUGAGUCAGCCUUCCUAUGUACUUCUUGCCUUACAAUGAACAAUAAAAAAGAAAUGAGAAAUUUAUGAUGUGCCUUUUGAACUUUCAAACUAUGUCUCCAAUUUUUUAAGGGGCUGGGGGAUAAGGCUUCAAUGUACUGAAAUUGUAUUGGAGGUUGGUUUUAACUAUGUAAAAUCUUGCCUUCUUUAUGAUUUGUUUUCUUGCUUGGUCAAUGAAAUCUCAACCAUCCUUAAGAAAUCAGGACCAGAAGAAGCCUUGAGACAUAAUCUAGAGUCCUUUCCCAUCAUGGUGGCCCAUAAAUUACCAAAAAGAGAAUGAGAGAGUGAGAGCGUAUAUGUCUCUUUGGUGGGAUAGGCUUCCCUUGGCUUGGCUAGUAACCUAACAGAAUGGCUUAGCUAGUAACCUAAUAGAAUGUAAAUGGCAUUUUCUGUCAGGACUUUUGCCUUGUACCUAGUCAACUGUUAUUAAGUUUGGCAGGUUUCAGAUUUAGAGACAAAUUCAAGGCCCACCUUUGGUUAUUUUCCAAAGUCAAGUUUUAUGUACUAUGCAGUGAUAAUUUUGCUCCUGGCUUUUGAUUUUUCUUAGGACAAUAAGAACUUGCUUUCAUUUCUCAACUAUUUGAUCUUUAUUAUAUAUAGAUUUGUAAAUCACCUUAAAUAUUUUAUGAUAGAAAAUGAGUCAGAAUGGAUAAAUGCAUGAAUAAAAUAAUAAAAAUGUCCUCAAGCUCAAGUUUAAGAGAAAAUUUGCUAGCUCUGAAGAAAAGCUAAUUAUCAUUAUUUUGUAAUAGAGACAGCAAUCAGAGCCUGCUUACACCCCAGAGACUUCUAGUGAGAAAUGCCCUGAACACAGCCUUUUACUUCCCACCAAUCAUUUGCUCCUAGGAACUGGACCAGAGGCAGACACCUGACCUGAAGGUAACCAUUGAUUUGGCUGGAAAUGGCCUCUAAUGUAACCUGGAACCAAUAGGUGAAUGGGACCAGUCAGAUUCUGUCUCCUGAGAAUUGAAGGUGCAACAAGAAUGUGUUCAUUAGUAAGAGGGAGCUCAAUGGGAAGGACCUCUAUUAGGGAGGGUCCCGAGAGCCAUAAUGCCAUGUGCACACUGGCCGAGGAAGCAGAGACUACAAGGAAGCCACGAACGUGGUCAGGGGAGAAAAGGGAACGAGUCGAGUGGGCCUACCGGAUAGAUAUGGGACAACAGCAGGACCCAGAAGUGCCAUUCUUUCUGGAAACUUCAGCAUCUGCUUCCAGUCCACAUGCAUUCUCCUGGUCAACCUCCCGUUUCUCCAAGGAAACCUAGCAGAACCUUUGUUGUUUGCAGUUCAGAGUCUCAAUAUGUGUCAAAGCAUUUUCUUUUCCUGUUUUUACUCACUUGUAAAGUUUUUACUUGAUCACUUUGGGCUUUUCAUUUCCCCAAUAAUAUUAAAAUUUUCUAUCUCAUAAAAAGAUAUUUGGGAGCAGAAGUUUGAAGGAAACCAACAGAAAGGGCUAUUAUUCCCAUCUCCUUGUCUCUAAAUACCAUAUUAAAAAUUCCUUGAUAUUUAUGAAAGGAGAUUCGCUAACUUCCUCCAACGGCUUGCUUACUUUUCUUACAAAGAGUGGAACUCAUCUACUGUGAGGCCCCACUGUCUGAUAUUUGCAUAUACUAGGAUUUUCUCCACUUUUUCGAGUUGCUGUGGGUGGAAUAUCUGGCUUGACUUGAUUUCUGCCUGAGACAUGCACUGCGUCUCCACUCAGUGCUUCCUUCUUUAGGGCUCAGUUCCCUACACUAGAGGCCUGUUUAUCUGGGGGCUAUGGGAGGAGCAUAUCAGCCUGUUCCUACACAUGAGCCGAAACUUUUUAAACGGUAAACAUGACAACAAACAGCAAACAUACUGUGCUGUAGAGAGAUCCAGAACUUUUGGUCCUUCCAUGUCCUGCAAGGGAACACUGAUGAUUAGCUUGAUAGAAAUGUAGAUCCCAUGGGAGUUCUACCACAGUAGACACCUCUUAAGUCACCGUGUUCUCCUUGUCUUUCAUUUAUCAGUCACUUCAGGCUUUCAGAAAUAAGCAGACAUUUCAACCCCUAAUGCUUCUCAUUUUCAUUACUUCUGUAUUCUUUGGGCCCAGAAUACCUGCCACACAGAGUCCAAAAUUUUAAAUAAUUCACAAAUUUGUCAAUGUUUAGUUUCUCUCGGGGGUCAUCUUAGUGACAACAAUGACUAUAUAGCAAAUCAAGUCAGUUGUGCAAAAUCCAGUUUGCUCAUCAGCCGAAAACAUCGGGAGGACUUUUCAGUCUGAAUAUGUUCCAAGAAGUAUAAUUCUUCCUCACAGUCCGAUGCAUGUUAACUAAGAUUGAGUCCCAGCUAAUGGUGUCCGGAUUUGCCACUUUAUCUUUCAGGGCAGGGUCCUCUUGUUCUUAACCUUAUGAACUACUCACACCUUCUCUAUUGAGAAGCUUGUUUUGUAAACCUUUGGCCUACUUUCCAUGGGAGAACCCUAGCUGCUUAACGGUACUUUUGCAUCAGCCCUCCCCCCCACCAAGACAUUCAUGCCACCGUGUGGUGCAUAAUGCUCUCAUUCUGCUCUGCUGGAAUGUCCUCCUUUUCCUGGCCAGCCGUUGAGGCCCAGCUUAAGUCUUCCCUUCUUUCCAAAUUCUCCUUUGAUUUUUCCAGUUCUUCUCAACUCUCACAGCCUUAGCCAUCCGUAUCAACUUAACUCAUUAUUAUAAACUGCAAUGGAUUGUUGCCUGUAUUUGGCAGGUCAGACCCUCCACCAGAUCACAAGCUCAGAAACAGAACUGAACUAUGGCCUUCACUGUGAGUUUAUGCUCCACAUCUUUUGCACAUUAGUUCUGAUACACAAAAGAGAAAAGUUAUGGUUGAUAUACUGCAACUGCAUUUUCUUUGCAUGUGGAAAAGCGGUAGGAAGCAGAGUCACUAUAAUCUCCUCUAUGGGAAAAACUAGAGGGGGCAUGAAUCGCCUUCCAGAUUUGAAUCGUUCUGGAAAAGGACCCUUUAUUCCCCCAGGAAUUGUCCUUGCAGGAGGGCAGCCUGGAGAGAGAGGGCAGCUUUCCAGUUAUCCACAAACUUGCUUCCUUAAGUUGUUCUCAGGGAAUGAUCAGGUCCUCUGAUGUGCCCCGUAUUCAAGCGCAAGUAUGAAAAUCUACUCUAAAAUGAAACCUAAGUGAUUUUUAAAAUCAUUCUUCUAAGAGUGGACAGGGGAGCACCCACCACAGAGGUAGUGACAACCAGCCAUUGUCACUACCAUGGUGUCAUUGUUCUCUUCCUCCCCAACUCACAGGGCAUACCAGUCGCAACUGAAAAGUAGUCUCGAAAUAUUUGAGUUGAAAUGUUACUAGAAGACUUUCUUAUUUUCAAUGUUGAUGUAUUUUGCAUGUCAAAGAUGCAAAUUUAUUUUUACCAUGCAGUCCAAUGGCUCCAUGCUUUUUGACGAUUAAGGUUACGGUGGCAUUUGCUCACAGCCAGUAAGUUCAAGCUUGUAAGGCAAGCCCUCCAAAGCUGGACUAAUUUCCCCUAAGCCCCAGGACUGGAAAUUAGGUUACUGCCACUAGGGUUUUCACAUGACUCAACCCUUCUCCUAGCUCUCUCUGCUGAGGCAAAGCAUUUAGCUCACAAUCCGGUCAAUGCCUUCAAAUGAGAUCAUAAUUGGGAACAGGCUUUGUAAGUGUCCCCUUCACUGUGGGAGCUUAGGUCUGACAGCAGCAACCAGAGAGAGAAUAGCACAGAGAGUUGCUGUCACUGAGCCAGCCCAUAGGACUCUAGGACAGAAGACCUUCCAAGGCCUCGGCUUCUCACUCUGUGGUAAAGGGAGGCAGUACCGCUCUUUAUUACAUGUAGCGGCCCUGGAGGAGCAAAAGACAUGGACAAACCACCUAACCAGCUGCAGGAUAAGCAGAAGCAGAGUGGCGGAGGGAGGAGGGGGAGGGGGCAGGCGAGUAGCCACAUCCAAGUGGGGAGCACAGCAAAUGCUGAAGUCCCAGAGACAUGCUGAGGGCAGGCAUCCGGGCAGACAGGCUUCGGAAACACAAGGUCUGGGCUGGGUUUGCCAUUGCAGCUCUGCUCUGGAGAAAUCUCUUUUGCAGGCUUGAAGUACCACCGGCUCUGAGGCACAUCUGCCAUCGUUACGAGACCACAAUUCAGAAGCGACCGCCUCACACCAAACACGUGGAACAGAAAAAUAGGAUGAAUUUAAGAAGUGGUGGGGCACCUGGGUGGCUCAGUUGGUUUAGCGUCCAACUUCAGCUUAGGUCAUGAUCUCACAGUUCGUGUAUUCGAGCCCUGCCUUGGGCCCUCUGCUGACAGCUCAGAACCUGGAGCCUGCUUCAGAUUCUGUGCCUGCCUCUCUCUGUGCCCCUCCCCUGCUCAUGCUCUGUCUCUUCUCUCUCUCAAAAAUAAAUAAUAAACAUUUAAAAAAUUAAAAAAAAAAAAAAGAAAUGGAGUUGAAAGUCUUGGAGUCACAUUCCAUGCAGCGGAGUAUUGGAGUGGGCUCUCUAGAGCCAAUGCCUCUCUUCCCAACUCCACAUCCAGUGAUGUCAGGAUGAUGCCUUGAAAUUGCUAUUGUUGGAACAUUCACACCACAGAAAUUGGCAAACAGUAAGGCCACCUGGGUGGCCCAGUCGGUUAAGCAUUUGACUUGGGCUCAGGUCAUGAUCUCAUGGUUUGAGACUGAGCCCCACAUCACUGUCAGCACAGAGUCUGCUUCAGAUCCUCUGGCUCCCUCUCUGUCAGCCCUUUCCCUCUUUGUGUGUGCUCUCUCAAAAAUAAAUAAAUGUUAAAAAAGAAAUUGGCAAACAAUAAACUCAGUGUGGUGGGUGUUUUUCCCCCUGCCAAAAGUCACCUUUGCAUAUAUGCCACAUGAGCCGUGUGAACCUUGGGUGAUACUUAUUUCACAGGGGGAUUAGUGCAAAUGAGAUACUUAAUUUGGAAGUCCUCUGUAACCUGUAAAGUUUCUACAUGUGUUAGCUUUUAUUAUUUGAAAUAAAAUGUUAAAUAUGAAGCUUUAACAUUUAUUAAAAUCAAAGUGUGUAAUUAUUACCUUUCAUUGCAAGCUUCAAAUAUGAUAUAGGACAAGAUUUCAGAAAGCAAAACAAUUAGGCAGCAGCCUUUUUGUGUUGGUUAAAGCUAUUAUGUGCAAGUUACAAAACUCCUAACUCCAACCGGCUUCAACAGUGAAGUGAGUUCACUGUCACCUAAACUAAAAGGCCAGAGAGAGUGCCAGCUUAAUUCAGCUAGCUUAAUCCAGAGUCCAGGCUAAACCCAGCAGGUCAGAUGAUGCCAUCAUAGAGCGGGAGGACCAUAUGUUCCUGUUUGCCCAGGAUAGUCCUGUUUACGCAUCCUAUCUGGUUUGGUGUAUGUCUUGCCUGGUUUCAUUCUCGAAGUUGUCCUAGUUUAGAAGAUAAAUGAUAUGUUUACUUAACCAAGGUUUGCUCUCUCUGCUCAGUUUUUUGUGUUGCAGGAUUCACCCUCAGGUAUCACAAGACAUGUUUCCCCACCCGUUCCCUGCAGUUCCAGCCUCUUCCAUGCAGAGAGCAUAAGAUCUGUAGAAGCUGCAGACCCCAUAACCUCACACCACCCAAUCUAGUGGGACAGAAAAUCUUUUCCAGUAGCCUGUGCAAGUGCUGGGAUUCACUGCCUCUCCCUGGUCUGAUUUGGGUCACAUGGCCAUUGCUGAAACAUCCCUUUGGGAACAUGGAUUCACCGAUGGACUUAGUCAACUGUGCUCACACCUAGAGUAGGCCUGAGAGAAUUCCAAACAAAUCGCCCAACUGAGAAUGAGGUGACUUCUCCCAAGGAACAGCAAGUAACUGUCGGCAGCAGAAGAGGUAAGAAGCCUUCUGUGAGGUGCUGUGAAGCUGCUUCUGUGUGAGGCUGAUCUAGUAAUGGUGGCCAGAUACAACACAGUGGAGGAUGUGCCAGAGGCAUUCAUACAGGGGGUGAAGUGCAGUGAUUAACAGCACAGAUCUUGGAGCCAAGAAGGCCUGCGUUCAAAUCUCAGCUUUGCCAAUUACUAAGAGCAUAUGAGCUGGGGAGAGCAAGAGAAGCUUAAGCAGCCACCAUGUGGAGACUGAUGUGGGACUCGACCCUACGAUCCUGGGAUCAGGACCUGAGUGGAAAUCAAGAGUCAGAUGCUCAACCGACUGAGCCAAUCAGGCGUCCCAGGAGAGUUCCUU